UACGGAGGGGGCUAGCGUUGUUCGGAAUUACUGGGCGUAAAGCGUACGUAGGCGGCUUUGUAAGUUAGAGGUGAAAGCCCGGGGCUCAACUCCGGAAUUGCCUUUAAGACUGCAUCGCUUGAAUCAUGGAGAGGUGAGUGGAAUUCCGAGUGUAGAGGUGAAAUUCGUGGAUAUUCGGAAGAACACCAGUGGCGAAGGCGACUCACUGGACAUGUAUUGACGCUGAGGUGCGAAAGCGUGGGGAGCAAACAGG
rnacentral:rRNA from 1 species